UACGGAGGAUGCAAGCGUUAUCCGGAUUCAUUGGGUUUAAAGGGUGCGCAGGUGGGAAAGUAAGUCAGUGGUGAAAUCUUGCCGCUUAACGGUAAAACUGCCAUUGAUACUGCUUUUCUUGAGUAUGGUUGAGGUAGGCGGAAUGUGUUGUGUAGCGGUGAAAUGCAUAGAUAUGACACAGAACGCCGAUUGCGGAGGCAGCUUACUAAGCCAUUACUGACACUGAGGCACGAAAGCGUGGGGAGCGAACAGG
rnacentral:rRNA from 1 species